CGACGCUGGCGGCAGGCUUAACACAUGCAAGUCGAACGCGUGUAGCAAUACACGAGUGGCGCACGGGUGAGUAACGCGUGGAUAUCUGCCUUUUGGUUCGGAAUAACUCCGGGAAACUGGAGCUAAUACCGGAUGGUUCCUACGGGAUAAAGAUUUAUCGCCAAAAGAUGAGUCCGCGCACGAUUAGCUAGUUGGUGAGGUAAUGGCUCACCAAGGCGACGAUCGUUAGCUGGUCUGAGAGGACGAUCAGCCACACUGGGACUGAGACACGGCCCAGACUCCUACGGGAGGCAGCAGUGGGGAAUAUUGGACAAUGGGCGAAAGCCUGAUCCAGCAAUGCCGCGUGAGUGAUGAAGGCCUUAGGGUUGUAAAGCUCUUUUACCCGAGAUGAUAAUGACAGUAUCGGGAGAAUAAGCUCCGGCUAACUCCGUG
rnacentral:rRNA from 1 species